AGAGAAAUAUGAUCAAGCUAACUCCUGGUUGUCUCUUACCAGUGUCACUGCCAAAUAUUGAAAAAAAAAUUAAUUGGCUUUUACAACCACUCUGUGGCAAUAAUAAUGUCCAAAGACCUGUUAAAAUUUUCUUUAAUGUAACAUAUUAUCAGCCAUAUGCUCCUGCCAUGUGGCAUAUGUAGGUGUGGGCCACCAAGGUACUGCAAGUGAGAGAAGUGGAGAUUACUCCUUAAAUGUGUGAAUUGUUUUUGUGCUCCUUAGUUUUCAAAAUGAUCCCUCUCGUUCCCAGUGAAACUCUGGAAGACACAAGAACUGUGUGCUCCUCACAUUCUGCACAGUGAGGGAACUUUCAAGGCAGACACCUCCCGUGUCAUCACCCAGCCAAGGAAGGACAAGUCAAGGUUUAUUUCAGGUGUCUUGAAAAAUACACAAAUUCUGAGACAAACAUUUGGAGGAUGGGACACAAAAAGUCGCAAGUCCAGACAAAAAGGUCUCAAGGUACUGGGACAAAUAAAUUUGUCUUUUUCACAGAAGAGGUGCAAAAACUCAGCAACAAUGAUUGCAACUUUUCUGGAUGACUGACAAUCUUUGUUUAAAAUUCUGAGAGAAAAGCAACAACCAGCCAGCUGUUUAUUGGGAGCUGUCCCUGCCCAUGGCAAUGAGGACAUGUUGAACAAACCUCAUAACACUCGUGAUGACUCCAUGAACACCCACAGGGUCCAUCCCACCCUGCCCUCGCUGCUUCCAGCUGGGAAAAUCAGGGCAGAAGGAGGCAAAAAAGGAGGUAAAAAAGGAGGCACUGCUGAAGCUGGCUGGGAUAAGAGCAGGUGACUGAAAUCUGCUGUAAGGAGUAAUUUAAUCAGCCCACAGCUGCAGAAAGUCUUUUGUAGAUGGGGAGAACAGACUUCUGGGGCCAAAUCAAGUAUGAGGUCAUACAGAAGCCUGUCUUGAGAAGAAGAGUGAAGUCCUGUGGAAGCUGGUGGUGCUGGUAAAGCUUCCCUCUGAGGCUGUUGCUGCAGCAGGAGAUGUGGAAGCAGGGAAUUCCUGGCCAGAAAACUGAAGUAGUUGUGGUGGCAGCUGCUGCUGAGGUGAAGUGUAGCAUCCUUAACCACCACAGUGUCUGGCAAAUGUGAGGACUUCUGGGCAAACAGAGGAGUCCUGACCACACACAGAGAUCUUACUGCUGACUUUAAAUGUCAAUAAGGAAACUACAUCUUGUAUGAAGUUCUCACAACAACUUGUACUAGUUUAUUGUUUUCAUAGGGAAGAUGGUAUCUAAUUCAUGUAAUGUCAGAAAGUCAACUCUGCUAGAACUAAGCAGAUGCAAGAUGGUUUGGGGUUGUAAAGGAUGAGACUCCAAAUCAUCUUUAACAUUAUUAAAAUGAUGGGGUGCUUUUAAGGAUGUGGCAGGAUAAACUUUAUAGGUAAAUGUUUAUGGGUCUGAAACACCUUAAAUUUGAAAACCACUUCUUUUGGAUACAGAAGUUUAUCUGAGGGUUACGACCUGUACUCACAAACCUUGGAUUGUGAUGAAAUAUAUGCAAAGCAAUGCAUUCAUUUGUUCUGUUUUGCUCCAAGAUUCUGCUUGCAGCUUGUGUGUUUGCACAUAAAUGCCUCUG